GAUCCUGGCUCAGAAUCAACGCUAGCGGCGUGCCUAACACACGCAAGUCGUACGAGAAAGUGGAGCAAUCCAUGAGUACAGUGGCGACCGGGUGAGUAACACGUGACUACCUACCUUCUAGUGGGGGAUAACUCCGGGAAACCGGAGCUAAUACCGCAUAACAUCGCAAGAUCAAAGCAGCAAUGCGCUGGAAGAGGGGGUCGCGGCUGAUUAGCUAGUUGGUAGGGUAACGGCCUACCAAGGCGAAGAUCGGUAUCCGGCCUGAGAGGGCGCACGGACACACUGGAACUGAAACACGGUCCAGACUCCUACGGGAGGCA
rnacentral:rRNA from 1 species